rfam:Populus trichocarpa scaffold_18_contig_83, whole genome shotgun sequence.
UUCUGGCAAUGAUGUCAUUGAUAAUCCCAGCUCUAUGAGAUCUUCAAUUGGAAGGUCCAGGAAUAGAUGUUAUCCACUGAAUCUAUAA